AGUGUAUGGUAAAUACUAGCUAUGAUGUUAAGUACCUAAAGCUAUGAGGAAACUAUAAGCUAUGCGUUGACUAUAAGGUAAGUACUAGCUAUGAUGUGACUAUAAGGUGAGUACAUAAAGCUAUGAGGAAACUAUAAGCACUAUCUAUAAUGGUAAGUAUGUGAUUUAGGUUGCCUGUCUGAAUUUGCCAGGUCAAAGAACCAAAACCAAAUGCUAAGACCUAUCUCUAAGAGGUUUUGCUCUGGAAUGCAAAAGGAGGGAAAAAAGCCUCUAGAGACUAGCUCACAGGCUGAACCAUCUCACCCAAACCUACAGGGGAGUCCCAAGCUCCACCCCCAAAACAAGAGCCAAUUGAACAUUCCACCCAAAAGCAGCAACCAGGAAAUAAGCAGGAGAGGGAAAACCAAGUAAGACAUCACACUUGCUUUCUGACUGCUUACAACAGCAUGUUUGUUUAAAUGUAGGACCAAUUACAGUAGAGUCUCACUUAUCCAAGCCUUGCUUAUCCAAGCCUCUGGAUAAUCCAAGCCAUUUUUGUAGUCAAUGUUUUCAAUAUAUCGUGAUAUUUUGGUGCUAAAUUCGUAAAUACAGUAAUUACAACAUAACAUUACUGCAUAUUGAACUACUUUUUCUGUCAAAUUUGUUGUAUAACAUGAAGUUUUGGUGCUUAAUUUCUAAAAUCAUAAUGUAAUUUGAUGUUUAAUAGGCUUUUCCUUAAUCCCUCCUUAUUAUCCAAGAUAUUCGCUUAUCCAAGCUUCUGUCGGCCCGUUUAGCUUGGAUAAAUGAGACUCUACUGUAUAGCAAUCUGCUUCUCACACCGGUCUCUUCAAACAUGAAAUUAGUAUAUACACUUUCACUAUGCAGUUGCAUUCAUUUUAAUUUUAAAUUAAAGGUCUGCAUUACUAAAAGAAUACCAUUGUCCACAGUGAUUUGUUUUGACAUUUAUAUAUAUUAAAAAAAACCUCUCAUAUUUUGUUUUGCUCUUCUUGCUUAAAAGAAUUUCUAAUUAAUCUUUGAAUUUUCUGGCUUGAUUUGCAACUUUUUAUCCACUGGCACUGUUUGUGGGAUGAAUAUUUCUGAUUGUUUUUAUUUUUGUUUCUUCCUGAAAUGGGUAUUUCAUGAGAGGGAAUGUUAUAUAAAUACAAAACUGUCUUUCAAAUCGGAAGUCUGGGUUUGACUUCACAAUACACAGUCCAUCUGUUAUGAAGAAGGGUAUGGGCUCACUGUUCAGAAUGUUUCUUGCUCUGUUGAAACAAAUACUAUUUUUGGUCAUCUCCAGAAGAUCUGGUGUACAUUCACACAACAUGGUUAUAGCACCUUUUUACCACCUCAACUGCCAUAGCAAUAUCCCAUGGGGUACUGGGAUUAGCAGUGGAGGGAGGGGCCUUUAAAAAACCUCAGACAGGGAUUUUACCUGGUGCCUCGGAUCAAAAUACAAAUCUCAGUAUUCAGUAGGAGGAAGCCAUUGAAGUUAAAGUGGAAUAAUACUGCUAUUAAGGACCUCAUCAGAUGGGUUUAGGGCUUCUUUUCCAUGGGCUUCAGAAUCGGAGCCCCACAAGAGUCCCACGGAGGCCAUCACAUGAUGUAAGGGCAUUUCUUGUGGGACUCCGUGGGACUCCAUUUCUUCAGCGCAUGGACACAGAGCCCUACACCUGUCUUCAGGAGUCUGGUGUCACCUGAACCCAAACAGCUUUAAGACAGGAGAAAGCAAGAGAAAAAUGGACAUCAAUGCAGUAAGGAUGUGCUAUGGCUGAUCAUCCCAAAAGAUGGAAAAAGAUGGGAGGGAAUGGGGUAAGAUGGUGCUCUCUAUUUUCCCCCGCUCUGUCUGAUCAAGUCUUCAAUGCCAAAAGUAAAAGAGGGCAGGCAAGGGGAGUGAAUUCAAUCUCCCCCUGCCUGCCCUCUAUCUCUGUUGGUACUGUGGGGUGAGUGAACUAAGAGUGUGACUAUUAUGUGGGGAAUGGCAAACUCCAUGUUUGCUUUCCUGAAAAUGAGGGUGUAACUAUUGUGCGAUGGCAACUAUUAUGUAAUAAUAUAUGCUAUGUACCCUCAGGGAAACCUAAUUAUACUGUGGAGAUAACAUGUUUCCUGAGAGAGAGGGGGGGGGAGUGUGAGAGAGAGAACGUUGAAAGUUGCCAGCAAAUAAGAGACAAUUGCUUCAUUCAGAAGCAAAAGUUUGAAGGUACAACAAUGAAAAUGAUAAACCAAGAGGUGUUGUUCAGAAUACAUUAAUAUACUUACAUUUUAAAAUUUAAAGUGACAAAAUAUGUCACUUUAAAGUGAUAAAGUACAUUAAUGUACUUACAUAUUAAAAUUUAAAGUGAUACAAAAUUACUUGUUUUUUUCUAUGCAGUGGCUAUGGGCCAUGUGGCUCCAGCAGAACAUAAGUAGCCUGUAUUGUUCCUGGAGCAAUUAGCACAUUCCAGUUGAGCCACUGGGCAGAGUGAGAAGGAGAGAAGAGGCUUCCUCAUAAUAGCUUUGCUGAGAAAGCUCCAAGUUCGUGGGAGUUCCUCCAGACACUGAGCAGAAAGCUGGCUGCUAAUCGUAGAGGUCCUGAUUUUUUUUUCUGUGCUAGCAAAACUAUACUGAGAAUGUACAGGCAUCAGAUGAAGACUAAGCUGAUACUGCACAACCAAGAAAGAGCAAUGCUCCAUGCUGGAGGACAUAGAAAUUCCUAGAGAGAACACUUCUCAAAGCAUGUGUAGGUUCUCUAGUACAAUUCUAUGAAUAGCCUCCUGUGGAAGUUGCCCAUAGAGUUGUGCUGCAAGACUUAGAGAUCUCUCGAAGGAGGUUAUCUCAGACCCCUAUCUAAACAGCCAGUUAAUGCAGUGUAGGGGAACAGUGUGGUUUAUUCUGGGUUAGAAUAAUACUUGCAAAUAUCUAGACCAGGGGUCCCCAAACUAAGGCCCGGGGCCCGGAUGCGGCCCUCCAGGCUCAUUUACCUGGCCCCCGCCCUCAUUUUUAUAAUAUAAUAUUUUUAUAUCAGUUUUAAUAAUAUAAUAUAUUGUAUAUACAUAUACUAUUGAGAAAAAUAUUAUAAUGUUAUACACUAUAAUACUAAUAAUAAUACCAUAUAAUAAUAUUAAUUAUAUGUUAUAUAUUACAUAUACAGUAAUAUUACAGUAUAGUGGUAUAGUUCAAUAUAGUAAUGUAUAAUGCUAAUAUUGUGCUAUGCUAAUAAUAUAAUAUAUUGUAUGUACAUACAGCUGCUCCGAGUCCCCCUUCGUGGUAAGAAGAGUGGGAUAUAAAUGUAGUAAAUAAAGGUUGUAAAUAAAUAGAUAAUUAAUUUUAGACUUAGGCUAAAGUCUGAAAUGACUUGAAGGCACACAACAACAAUCAUAAUUAACUUGACUAUCUCAUUGGCUAGUAGCAGGUCCACACUUUCCAUUGAAAUCCUGAUAGGUUUAUGUUGGUUAAAAUUGUUUUCAUUUUUAAAUAUUGCAUUGUUCUUUAAUUGUUAUUGUUGUAUUGCACUACAAAUAACACAUAUGCAUUGUGCAUAGGAAUUUGUUCGUAUUUUUUUUCAAAUGAUAAUUCGGCCCCUCAACAGUCUGAAAGAUUGUGGACCGGCCCUCUGCUUUAAAAGUUUGAGGACCCCUGAUCUAGACCUUCCAGGAAAGUCUGAAUCUUUCAAGCUAUGUCCCUUUGGGUACUGCUUCUUGGGACUGCCAGGCAGAAUCCCAGGGGGGCAGUUUCCACACCUAUUCCACCUUUAUGGUCCCAGGAAGCCUAAAGGAAGCACCACACACACACCCCUCAGGGAAUGACUACACAAUGGUUUGCAUAAUCACAGUACCCUGAGAAGAUACACAGAACACAUAACGGGUUUCAGGAAGAGCCAUGAGAUUAUCCCAAUAUAAUCUGAUUUUCUCCUUGGAAAGGUUUCCUCAUAUCUAUAGCUAAAUCAUAUUCCCCCUCCCCUGGGAUAGCCAUUGAAUUUUCCAACAUCCUGACCACCCUUUUGUCUACCUGACUGGCACCCAUUGUAUUGACCUAAGCAAAGACAUCAAAACCCAUUUCAAUUGAUUAUCUCAUGCUGCACCACAUUCCUUUCUACUCACACUUCUCUCAUGGGUGGAUAAAUAAACAGACACAAGUAUUCAAAUAUACCAAUUACAGUUUACUAAAUUUCUCACCAUGACUGAAGCUAAUCAACAAUGAGGAUGAAUGGAGCUCCGGGACCUAUCUGAGAGUAGAUCCUUGCCAGCACUGUUUUGGACGAAUCAGAAGCUAGAACAGUAAAGUAUCUUUGUUUUGAAUAGCUGUAAAAGUGCUAUAAAUAAACCUGUAUGUUUGCAAUUACACUUAUGUCAUUUUUGGAGCACUGUCUCCGCUAACAUCCUCUUUGGCCAAGGAUAAUAAACCAUCUAAUUGUUGCCUUAAUCCCAUCUGUGUCUUAUUCAAUCCUUUGGGAGCUUGACACCCCAGGCUCCGAACCUGUGGUUCUUGCAGUAGCUAAAAAAAAUCACAUACUAUAAAGAUGUGUUUCUGCUUAUAGUCCCAGUAUAUGAAUUUUGUUGUUGAACAUUCGUCCUAUUUGAUUAUUAUUCUACAUUUCCUAAUCCUUUUGCUUGUACUUUUCAUUCCAUCAUGGAACAAAUGUGCCAGCAACUAACUUGUAAUAUUUUUGGUAAAUCCAUUCCUUGAUCCAGGCCAGAUUUAUCAAAAUGUCCAGGACUAAGUAUAGGUAACCCACUCCAGAUUUUCUACUGGGUGUCAUGGAAGGGUAGAAUAAUUAGUCUACUGUCUUGGAGAGGGAAGAAGCUACAGAACACUAAAUGCUGCAUUUUUAAAACAUCUGACGAGUCUUCAGUCUUAACCUGAUUCUACACUGUUUGGAAUAAUAUUCCAUUGUCAGUGUAGAUUCAUAUAAUGCAGUUCCCAAUGGCAUUAUAUGGCAAUGUAGAUCCAGCCCACUAAACACAAUACAGCCUAUUGCUAACAUGGGUUCGUUUAAUGUCCAAAACCACUUUAGAGAGACCAAUUGUAGGUAAACACAGCAAGACUAUUCCACAAUUCACAGUUUUUAAUACACUAAAUUCUAAAAGUCCCUGCAUUGUACAGGACACUAUUCAGCUAUCCAAACAUGUUACAGAUAUUGCAGGAGCUCCAAAGCUUUUGGUCUUAAAAUCAAUACUGGGAUGUUUAGGGUGAUAGAGACCUUUUCCAAACACCUCUCUGGGGCCAAGAAUUGUUUCACAACUUACAUGGAAGAAAUAAACAGUAUCUGCUCAGGAAACAUGCAGAAAAUCAGGUUGAUCAAUCUGACUGAUUUUAUUGCAGCACCCAUGUUUCUGACUUCUCUUCCUCAUAGAAAAAAGCCAUGGGUCACAGGGUAUACAGCUAAAACUGCAGUCUCUUGUCAGAGAACACUUGCCUGCAUCUUCAAAUGUCCUGUCCGACUGCUUGACAUGGGGCCAGAGGCAGUUCAACCACCAGGCCAACUAGGCAGUUGCCUGUGGCGCCAUCUUGUUGGGGGCGCCAUUGAGGCAACUCCUGUCUCCUGCAGCCUGCCUCCGCAAGACCUCUGAGUGCCUGUAUCAAGAUCCAUAUAUCAAGAAUGAAGCUGCCUCUGCAUUUCAAGCUGUGAUUCAACUUGUUGAUUGCCUGUGACACUCACCUGAAAGGAAGCCAACCUGGUGAAAAGUUACAAGAGGUGGAGAGAAAGUAAUUCCAGCCACAGGCAUUGCUUCAUUAGAGAAAUGUCUGUUUUCAUUAAAUGGAGAAAGAACA